GGACAGACUGUGUAAACGCAGCGCCAUGCAGUAAUGCAUGGUGGAAAAGUAGGUGAAUUCAGGGAACCCCGCCAGAGUUUUGUGGCGGGCAAUCCUGAGCCAAGCCCCGAUAUGUGCCUAUUUCUAUCUAGGGAUUAUCGGGGAAGGUGCAGAGACUAAGCGCCUACCAUCCUGCAAAAAGGAUGAUGAGAUAGUCCAAGCCUCGAGGUAACUUGAGG
rnacentral:ncRNA from 1 species